rnacentral:tRNA from 1 species
UGAGGGGAGGCUUAGUGGUAGAGCGCAUGCUUAGCAUGCAUGAGGUCCUGGGUUCAAUCCCCAGUACCUCCA